CUGAAAGACUCACCUUUGACAUUCAUAAACAAUAUAAUAAUAUCAUCACUCACAUAACGAAAACCUUAAUAAUUAUCAAUCUGAGAUUACAUGCAUUGUUAUUUGUUAAACACCCUAUUUAACCAUAGGCUUAAACGAGGUGAGACUCUUGAAAUGCUCCCAUGGCUUCUCCCAAACGACAGCUUCAAAUUUCUUGGUCGAAGGUCCGUCCUUGACGACCAAGAUCAGCCGGUAAUUGGUGCCGGAAACCACCUGAGUCUCGGCCUUCUCCACGCUCUCGAACUUCAACGCGCUCUUUGACCGUUUGUUGUACUCUGUCACCGCGAACUGCCCGAUCUCCAUCACGUGCUUCUCCGUGGGGUCUAUCGGAGUCCAUCCCCCAAAUAUAGGCUUAAACGAUGUGAGACUCUUGAAAUGCUCCCAUGGCUUCUCCCAAACGACAGCUUCAAAUUUCUUGGUCGAAGGUCCGUCCUUGACGACCAAGAUCAGCCGGUAAUUGGUGCCGGAAACCACCUGAGUCUCGGCCUUCUCCACGCUCUCGAACUUCAACGCGCUCUUUGACCGUUUGUUGUACUCUGUCACCGCGAACUGCCCGAUCUCCAUCACGUGCUUCUCCGUGGGGUCUAUCGGAGUCCAUCCCCCAAACAUAGGCUUAAACGAGGUGAGACUCUUGAAAUGCUCCCAUGGCUUCUCCCAAACGACAACUAACAAUUUCUUGGUCGAAGGUUCGUCCUUGACGACCAAGAUCAGCCGGUAAUUGGUGCCGGAAACCACCUGAGUCCAGGCCUUCUCCACGCUCUCGAACUUCAACGCGCUCUUUGACCGUUUGUUGUACUCUGUCACCGCGAACUGCCCGAUCUCCAUCACGUGCUUCUCCGUGGGGUCUAUCGGAGUCCAUCCCCCAAGCAUAGGCUUAAACGAGGUGAGACUCUUGAAAUGCUCCCAUGGCUUCUCCCAAACGACAGCUUCAAAUUUCUUGGUCGAAGGUCCGUCCUUGACGACCAAGAUCAGCCGGUAAUUGGUGCCGGAAACCACCUGAGUCUCGCCCUUCUCCACGCUCUCGAACUUCAACGCGCUCUUUGACUGUUUGUUGUACUCCGUCACCGCGAACUGCCCGAUCUCCAUCACGUGCUUCUCCUUGGGGUCCUCUAUCGGCUUCCAUCCCCCAACCAACGCUCCUUUACGGUCGCCGGCGGCCAGGAGAGGGACCACGGAGAGAAAGAGAACAAUAAGACAGCAAAAACGUUGAUUCAUUUUCGUUGUUUUGGUAACCGUUCACACCAAAGUCCGUGACUUCCGGUUCUUGAGUGAAUACUUCGCCUUGGCCCCUGGUUUUGGAUUUUAUACGCGGCGAGUUUUAGUGCACCGACACGUCUGUACGCUUUGUCUGAUUUGAAAAGGAGGUACACGUGACAGUCAGUGGUGUGAUUUCUGUGGUCUUAUCAUAUACGUGGCGGUUUACGAAAUGGGGCCCGCAUUCUUGGCGUGGCAGGAUGUGAAUACUGAGUGGGAAGGAGAAUGUAUGUGCUUUAGCACACCUGAGCAUUUACCACUGGAGAGUGAUACUGACGCAGGCAAAUAAUAAAAUAAUAAUAUCUAAUUGGGUGAGACUGAUUUCUUCUCUACACUACACCUUUUUUUUUAAUUAAAAAAAUAUAUAUUUUUUUAAAUUACUUAAUUAAUAUUUUUUCUUUGUCUAGAGAAGUGAUACUGACGCAGGCAAAUAAUAAAAUAAUAAUAUCUAAUUGGGUGAGACUGAUUUCUUCUCUAGACUACACCUUUUUUUUUAAUUAAAAAAAAAUAUUUUUUAAAAUUACUUAAUUAAUAUUUUUUCUUUGUCUAGAGAAGUGAUACUGACGCAGGCAAAUAAUAAAAUAAUAAUAUCUAAUUGGGUGAGACUGAUUUCUUCUCUAGACUACACCCUUUUUUUAAUUAAAAAAAUAAAUUUUUUUUAAAAUUACUUAAUUAAUAUUUUUUCUUUGUCUUUUUAAUUUUAUAAUUUUUAAUCAAUUCACUGAAAUAUGUUUUUCUAUUUAUAAAUAAAAAGAACAAAAUCUACUAUUUAAAAAUAACAUUAAUAAACUUUUUUCGUUAUUAAAAUUAAUGAAUAUCAAUAAAUUAAUUUUUAUCAAAUACAAAAAUUAAUAAAUAUUAAAAAAAAUUCGUAUAUAAAAAAUAUAAAAUAGAGCUCAUAAUAUAUUAAAAAAGGGUAAAACCAUGAAUUAAUUGUUUAGUUUAUAAAAUAUAAGAAGGUAGGAAGAAUAUCCAUUGUAAAAUUAAAAUGAAAAAAAGAAAGAGAUAAGUAAUUUUAAAUUUUUAAAUUUUUAAAAAUAAAUUUGUUUUGUAAAAUAAAAAAAAAAUUAAUGAAUUUAAACAACCUUAUCCUAUCCUAUUUAAUUUAGGUAGCCCCACCAUAACUAAUUAGACAGCAGAGAUAAGAAAAUUACGUGAACUUUAAAUGUGAUACUUUCUUCUGGAACAUUACAGAAUUUCCAACUAUGAAUCUUUCGAUUUUUUUUCUUUUUUUACUUUUAGUCAAAAUAAAUUAUCAUUAUUAUUAUAAUUAUUUUAUCGACAACUAUUAAUAAAAGCCCAGGAUAUUAAAUUCGAGUGAUGGAUAAAUAAAAAAUUGUAUUUUCUUCCUUCUCCAUCCCCGAUGCGCCGUGCUCAAUUUCUUCCUUCUCCAUGCAUGCUCAACGGCAUAGGGAUUGCCACUUAGGCUUGUAGUUUAGUAGUGAAUCAUUAUUUUUAAAGUUAAGUAUAAUUAUGAGGGUAAUUAUUUGAGUUCUUAUGGACUCAAUUUUUCUCAAUUAAAUAUAAUUAAGUGAAGACUUCUUAUAACGUCUUUCUCCUUUGGGAAAUGUGAGUGGAGUAGAAACAUCUUCCUCUGUGAGAGAUAUUUGGUUGGGUUUGUACUUUAUAGAAUAAAAAUAUAAUAAUAUAAGUCUCAUAUAUAUAUUUAAUUAUAAAUAUUAGUGUAAUGACUGACUGUCAUAACAAUUAUAUAUAUCUCUGUGUGUAAUACAGUAAUAUGAUGCUUAUUUGGUUAAAAAAAAAAAAAAAAACAGCAUAGAGGUUGUUCACUUUUCCCCUCCCUCACAAAGGACACAUAGCCAAUGGCAAGGCCGAAGCGAACACAACCACCAACAGUGCCAGUUCUCGCUGGAAAUAUGAGGCAGGAGGGUGAUGCAAGUUUGGGAGGCUGCUGGCGGGACGAAGAGCCGUGGCCUGCAGCUGAUCGACGCGGCGUGGACGAUGGUGACUAGCGGCUGCAAAAUCAUAACCCUGAAAUUUUAGGGCUUCCUAUUUGUUUUGGUUUGGGUGGUUUUUCAUAAUUUAUUAUCAAAUAAAUUAUUUUGAUUGAGUUAAAAAUAAAUAAAUAAAAAAUUGAAAGUUGAUGUUGUUUGUGAUGCUUUCAAAGCAAGUGUAUGGUGCUAUUGCUAUGGAUACUGGGACAGGCAAUGAUGCUGGAGUUUGAAGAAAAUUGAGUCCCAAAGAAACAAGAAGCGGUGAUGGUUGCUGAUAGACGCGGCAAAAUUUAUCGAUCCUUACGAGGGUGACAAAAAAGUAACCGUAGAAUUUAAGACACGCAUUCGACUAGUAACGCGCAAGAUGAGCACACAGGAAAGCACGCUCCUCUCACAAAUACACAAGCAAGCAUUCGCAUUUCAGCCACCCUACUGUUCUCAGUGACUCUCGGAUGACACUCUCAUGCAUUUCACGGCAUUCAUCGCCCUGAAACCUUGGACAAAGAAGGAAGUUGGUUAUUAUUCGUAAUUUCAGACAACGGUGAUACAAUUUAAUCUUAUUACACACAUUAAAAUUUUUAUAAACUAAUAUUGCCGGCACUAGCAAAAAAAAAUUUAUUUUUGUAAAGUUAAUAAAUGAAUAGUCUACUAAUUUAUUGAUAAAUAAAUAUUUAAUAAUUUACAGAGAGAUUUUUUUUAAUAAAAAAAAGAACAACCAUUACGGAUUGUUUUGGUCAUUGCAAGUUCCGGUUAGGCCAAGGUACGGUUAUUUGACAACAAGUUGGUGAAGACGAAGGCAUUCAUGAACUAGAUGAAGUUAUUUUUGGUCUACACUACAAAAAUAUGAUAGAUAUUGAGAGCCUUUUGAAUUAUCGGAGUGAAAAUGAUACACUGAUGGAAUCAUCUAUUGACGAAGAGAUUAUUCAAGUAUAGUGGAUUUCUCUAGUGAUGAUGAUUAAUGAUGAUGAUCAAUAAGAUAGUUUUGUUUUACAAAAUGUUUUCGCAAAAAGGCAUUUCAAGCAAUAGUAGCCUUAAAUAAUUACUUUUAACACACAAAAAAAAAGAAUACCAAGUUUACACAAAAAAAAAAAAAAAACAAGACUAAGUUCAAUUUAGGAACAAAUAAAAAAUCAAUAACUUUAGAUGUAGAUUUUGCAAAGAGUUGAAUGCAGAUAAUUGAAGUUGUUUAUAUUUUAUUUACUAUUAAUUUUUGUGUUUGAUUAAUUUUUAAUUUAUAUUUUCAUUAGGCCCUAAAAGAUUUAAAAAUAUUAUUAUCUUAUGCAUUAGACAAAUUAUUAAUUUAAUAAACUAGCCUAAAUCAGAGAAUCAAGAUUAUUAACUUAUCAAAUAUUUAUUUAUCGUAAAUUUACUGUAUUGUAAUUAAGAAUUUUUCACAAGGGAUAAUGAUCGAUUAUUUGCUGGCGAGAGCUCUCUGAGAACCUUUUUCUUUUUAAAUAAAUAUUGUUUUCCAUAAAAUCGUAUAAAAGCAAGUGCCACCUAGCUACAUCUAAUAAAUAAAUAAAUUUAUCCAACUUUGUUUAUUGCAGACCUUAUUUUUUACAUAUUAAAUGCUAGUGACGAGGCAUCGUGGAAGGAAUUCACUGACAAUUCAGUAUGCUGCGGAUAAUGCAUGUAUAAAUUUUUAGGGGCGCGUAAAUCAGUUUCCGUUCAAACUACAACACAUUCAAUUUAGAGUAUUAGGAUUGGAUUCAAAUGGUGAACUCAAUCUAAACCAAACUGAAUUUAAUUCGAUUAAAUUCAUAUUACAAAUUUAGGCUACAAGAGUUUCAAUCACUACCUCGUAAAACAAGUCAAACAUAUGGAAAAAAAAAAUCAAUAAAAAUCACAUAUCUAAGUCACUCCAAUCUCACAUUCAAAAUCUCAGGACCCAGUUUUCAAGAUUCAAUUUUGAGUCCCUUUCCAUAAGUAUCGCAAGUUUCGUACAUCAAUUAACAUUCAUUUUAGUUUUCUCAUGAAUGUGAUUGAAUGAUUUACUCUUGCUAUGGAUCAUGAGAUGUGAUUGAAGAAGUUCUUAAAUCUAUUUAUUAGUAUAGGGUUAGUAUACAUUAUUAGAUGAAUGAUUUAUCUUUAAUGUCAUGUGGUUGUCAAUGAAUGGUUAACUCCUUAUUUAUUAUGAUCUAUUGAUUGUAACUUAUUUUCACUUAUAACUCACCAUAUUUAAAGUCUUAGAGUAUAGCUCUAGAUAACUAGAGCUAGACUUUUUUCAACUUACUCAUAUUGAUUGUCACUCAAGAGAUGUAAACAUAAACAAAUUAUCAACAUGAGAAUAUCUUAAUAAGAUCACAUACUUAAGGGAUUGAGAACUCCUCUCCUAUAAAAUCUAUGUAUAUCACCAAGAGUUAUCGCUAUGUUUUAUUGUCACAAUCAACAAGCUAAGUAUACUUCAAAAUUAAAAUUGCCUAAGCUCUAUAUAGCUCAUAAUUGAAUCGCCGAGCUCAGUUAUAAAUUGCGAGAGCUAAUUGAGUGCAACUCAAUUACCAUCGCCACAACUGAGUAUAGCUCAGUAUUGAAAUCACUACAACUGGCAAAUUGUAGCUCAGUUAUCUCUUACUACAGCUUUGUACAUCAUAGUUAUGAAUUGCUAGAGCUAAGUUUAACUUAGUUUGAAAUCAUUAGAGCUGUGAGAAAGCUCAACUACAGACUCCAAAAUAACUUAGAAGUUUACUAAUUAACAAAAGGCGACUCAGCAGCGAGUUGCCACAUGUCACCCCCACAACAUUUUCUCUUAAGUUUCUUGUGCGUUAAUUAUUUCAACACAAGAAACUAGAUGGAUCUUGUUUUGGGUAAAUUUAGGACAUUAUUUUAGAAAAAUAGGCAAGUACAUGCGGCAGUAGAGAAUAAACGAGAAGAAAAGUUAACACUUUUAAGUGAAUAAGGGAUAGCUCAAGACAAGUUAGAGGUAAUCUUUGAAAGAGAGAGAGGAUAACUCCAGGAAAUUUGCCCAGUUUAAAAGUGAAAGUGGAAUUAAAAAAUGAUAAUUGGAGCCCUCACGUGUGGGCUGCAUGCCAUCAGAAAAAGGGUUAAAUAUCUUGUCUAUUAUGCUAAAAACAAGAGACCAAUAGCAGAAUAAUUAGCUGACAUAGCAAUGAGGAAAGGACAUGUUAGCACUGCUUAAUUAUCCCUUAAAAAAUAGUAGGAUCACUGCACCAGCUUCUGCCACGUGGCAAAGAGCAAUGACCACAUGAAGGUUAAAGGAAUGAAUUAUUCACCAAACUUACUUGGUCACUAUUUGAGGAAGGCAGCACCAAUAGAAAAUCUCCGUAUGAUAGAAAAGAUAAAAAUGUCCCUAGGGCGUUUAUCCUAGAAAUUUAACUCAGGACAAGAUAAUAGACUUUUUCUCCAUAUUUGAUUUUUUGAGAGGCUACUUCAUGUUCUUCUUCCUGCAAUUUUAGGAUUUUUUAUUUCAUUUUUAUACCUCCAUGGAAGAUUUCAGUGAUCUCAUCUCUUAAAGAAACUUUUUCAUUAUUUUUUUCUUAGAAAACUAUCUAAUCUUCAUAAGACCCACAUCUUCCUCAUGUUAUUAUUCAUCCUAAACAAACUUUAAUAAGAUUUUGUUAAUAUUAUAAAUAAAUAAAUAUAUAUAUAGGACAGUUAUUAUUCAAUCUGAAAGUCCUGGAUUGGAUCAUUGUCUGGGAAUCCACUGGGAAUCCAACGACCCCUGGUGUCUUUUUUUUUUAAUUUGUUGCUGCACAUGGUGGGGCCCACCAUGUGCAGCCACUAGGCUUUGUCCCAAAAACUGUUUCACAAUUUCCUAUAUAUAUAUAUGUAAUACUUUUUUUAUUUAUUAGAUUGGAAAUAAAUUACUCCCGUGGAUAUAAGCCUAAUGACGAAUCAUGUAAAAUCUUAUAUGCUCUUUAUGAUUUACGUGUAUUUCCUACUUAUUACAAUGGUUUUAAACUUCAUAUAUGAGCUAACAUGAGAUAUACUGAUAAGUUCUCUAGAAUUAUCUCUUGAUUGCACCUAGGGUGCCAUUAAGCUCUCUUAAGCUUGCCAUAUCAACGCUCUAUGCUAACUCCAACGAGCUUUAUUGAGUUAUCUAAGUUAUUCCAAAUUCAAAAUAUUUUAGUUCACCUUUGAGAUCACAUCAGCUAUAUCUUUUGCCCCAAAUGUUAAAAAAAACAAAAAAACCUAUCUCUGCUAGCCCAAUCUCUCCAUAAAUAUAAAUUUAUUUAUUUAAAUCAAAUUUGACUUUGAUCUGGUAAGAACAACCAAUAAAUAAUUCAAAUCAAAUUUUAGUCAAAAUCUGGUGAGAACUUGAAUAUUUUUAUAUACAUAUACCUUCUUUUAUAUGAUGUUGUCUUGAAGCUGAAGCUAGGUUAGCAGAAGUAGUAGUACUAGUACUAGUGCUUCUCAUGGGCGGAUAGAAAAUGCAGAAAUUAUAUUUUGAACUAUAUAUGUUCAAUAAAAGGGAAAAAACUCAAUAUGGUGUGCUAACCACUAAGGGAAGCAUUCAUUAGGCACGCAAAUAUACAAUAGGCGUCUUUUCUUAUAGGAAAAGCAUCAAUUUUUAUCAUCAUCUCAUCAAACACUAGCAUUGCUAUAAUUCCUAUUCAGGGUCCCCCAAUGCCUGUUACGGAGACUUGAUUGAGAGAAACCUCCACAGUUUACAAGAGUUUGCAGCUACUGAACAUCCCCAUCUGUCCCAAAAACAUAAGCACCUGCAAUAUCCAAAAUUUGUCAAUACAUUUGUAUCAAGAAACAGUAAACAAUUAAUGUCGCGGUAAGAUUAUUUACCAAGUGUAGGCAUUAGAAAGGCCAGAGCAGCAAUGCCAGCAAUCUUAAGGGGCAGCCCUGUCUUGAUCAUAUCUUGAAUUUCGAUGUGCCCGGUUGUGAAUCCAACAAUAUUUGAAGGGGUUCCAGUCGGCAACAAGAAAGAAAAUUGUGCUCCAAUUGCUCCAGGAACCAUAAGAAGCAAUGGAUGAACAUGCAUAGUUUUUGCUAUUUGGAUCAGAAGUGGAAGAACGAGAGUUGUUGUGGCAUUAUUUGAUGUGAAUUCAGUAAUAAUCGCGCUAAUCAGACAUACGAUAGGUGCAAUGGCUAAAUAUGGCGCCGCCUCCAGGAAAUCCAAUGCUUUUGACAGAUCAUCAGCAAGACCGCUAGUCCUGACUCCAUCAGCUAUAGCAAAGCCAGCCCCUAAAAGCAAUAUAAUGUUCCAAGGUAGCUUCUUGCAUUUGUUCCAAUCCAUCAAUUUUUCUCCCUUUUGCUUCAUGCUCGGAAUUAUGAACAACAAUGUUGCCAUCACAACCUAUAUUUGUGUGUGUGUGUGUGUGUGUGUGUGUAUACAUAUGUAUUAAUAAUUCAGUUAAAAAUCAUCCAAAAGCUUGAUUAAACAUGUCUCAUUUAAUUAUGUUCUCAAAUGAUAAACAAAAGACCAAAGAGUACUCACACUAGCAGUUCCAUCACCAGCACGGUCAUUGAAGAGUGCUCCCCAACCUGGAAUGUCAUCUGUUAUUGAUCUUGUCAUCCACAAUGCUAUUAGCAUCUGCAUCAUUUAUCUUAAAUUAACUUGAAGACAUUUCCAAUAACAUUAUGCACAUCACUUAAAAGGGGAGAAAAAAAAAAAUUACAGCUCAGCUCACCCCAAAUACAGCUAGUACCAUCUUUUCAGCAAAAGCCAUUGGACCUGCCAAGAAAAACACCAAACAAUAGAAUUAAGCCACUGAACAUUAAUUAGCUGUAGCUGUCAUUAAUUGGACAGACAGCAGGGUCUUACCUAACAUGUCAAGCUCUCUCUUGAGAUUUGCUUUGUCCAAAUACUCGGAGAGAGCAGGUCCAGAUCCCCUUGAACAAUAGAACAAGCACAAAAUAGCCCACAAAGCAACGAAAAUCACUAAAGCCAAAGGGAACCCAAAACAGAACCAGGUACUGAAGCUGAUCGGGUUUGCUUCUGGAAAAUAGGUCUUCCACAUCCCGACCAAUAUUAGAUUAACACCUGUUCCAGUAAGUGUGCUCAUCCCUCCUACGGCUGCAGAGUAGAUGACCCCGAGCACCACAGCUUUGCAAUACUUCCUAACAAGGGUUGAUUGAAGAGGAACCUCUGGCAAGUUCUGUAAGAUCCCAGUGGCCACUGGCAUCAUGAUCACUGCUGCUGCCACGUUAUGCAUCCACAUGCUCACGAAUGCUGUCGUGCCACAUAUCCCAAGAAGCAGCAAGGGCGGAUUCAUUGGCUCUCCACAGAAUAGAAUAGUUAUCUGUAGUUAUUAAUAUAUAUAUGGUAUAGGAUUGUCCAUACAUAAUUAAUUCAUCUUUUGUCACUGAUAAUUUUUCUGAAAAAGAAAUCGUAACAAUUAAUGACAUGAUGAUGAUGAUGCAUUACGGGAACUUACAUUUAAGGCCAAUCUUUUGUGAAUGUUGUAGUGCUCAACGGCAAGAGCAAGAAUAAAGCUACCAAGAACGAGGGCAAUAACAUCAUCCAUGUAAGAAUGAGCAACGGUGUCAGCAGAAGAGAUACCAAACAGAGGAAACAGAAACAGAGGCGCCAUAGAGGUAAUGGGCAUGGGUACGGCCUCCGUGAGCCACCAAGCGAAGACCCAAGCAAGAACACCCAACAUGUUCCUGCUUGUCGCCUGCCCAUCGAGCUUCACACAUACACAUAUAACAGCGCACAGGAGAGGUCCUAGGAGGAUGUAGAAAUUGUUUGGUGUGAAAAUGGUUUUCAAUGUGAAGUGGGAGCUUGGUGACCGUUGGAUUUGACGAUGGGAAGGUAGGAGUGGCGCCUUGAUGUCACCAGAAUUUGGAUGAGCUUCGUGGUCACCGUUCAUUUUGCAGUGAACGUGUAACACGAUACGAGAGAAAAUUGAAGGUGUCGUUCGAAAGUGGAGGUUGCUGCAUGCCUUGGCCUUUUUAUAUGAAAAAUGUGAAGAGGAGGUGGAAGUAGACAACUUCUCUUUACCAUGACCCAACGACAGACGGCCAAGUGGGCACCAAACCUCCCCGAUUUUAACUGAAAAUAUACUCCUGCGUUGUAAGAAUUGAACAAGUCGUGUAUCUUACCGUGGACCGAUGUGAUAUUUGAAUUAAAAUAUUCUUACCGUGUAAGAAUAUACUCAAAAUAAUAUUUUUUAGUUGAACUUUUUCCUUUUAGAUAAGUCUAAAACGAUGUUGUUUCAAAUGUGUUUUUAUCCAUGCUUCGAUUCAUUAUCUGAAAAAUAAAACUAAAAAAUCUGAAUCAGACUGCCCCAACUUCAAAUUCAUUAUCCACUCACUACAUGACUCGUAACCUCAUCAUAUCUGAAUAUAUACAUGUAUAUAUACACACACACAUGCCCCAGAUCUACUGGACUUGAAAAUGAUGUAUUUUUUACAGGUGGGCAAAAUUUAAUUUACAAAUUUGCAUGAUGAUGAAGCUUCCGUGUCAGCUUCGUUAAGUGGUAAUCAAGAGCGUACUGGGGUUUCCGAUAAAUCAUGAUAUUGUAUAUUUGUAUGCAAUCAUCAAUCGGGGUCCGAGGAUUGAGGUUCGUAAUUAAUUAAUAAAUAAAAUGAAAAGAGAGAACCUCAACACCACAAGCUAAUCCAAUUAUUGCUCGACUAUCCAUCACAAUAAUUUGAAAACCCUGUUCAUAGUUCCACGUGUCGGACGAUGUUUUUCGCAAUAAUGCAACGUUUGGCACAAAACGUGGGCUCAGGGGUCCACCCCGAAAUUGACCUGUUGGGUCAUAUGUCUUGUCUUUCACCAAUCGUUAAAAAGCACAAAAAAAAAAAAACAAAAAAAAAAUCUAGGAUUCCCUCCCUCUCCGGAACUCUCUUAAACUUUUAACAAUUUUAUAUUGGGUCCUUCUAUCUUACAUGCAUGUAAGAUACAUUCCUCUCAUAUGAAUAGUGUGUGGAUCCCACACAUGCACUAUUCAUGUGAGGGGGAUGUAUCUUACAUGCAUGUAAGAUAGGAUUUGCCUUUUAUAUUUUAUACGAUGUAAUAAUAGUAUACAAAUAGAAUUGAGCUUCUUUAUUUAUUUAUUUAAUACUGAUUACACACUAAAUUAUUAUAUUACACAAAUAUUUAUAAUUACUAUUAAAUAUUACAUUGAUAUUUACAAUCAGAUAUAUAUAACUGAGACUUAUAUAUGAUUACAUUAAAUUCUAUGAAAUAUAUGUCCAGAUAAAUUAUUCUUACAGAUAAGAGAUGUCCUACUUCACUUAUAUUUCAUAAAGAAAAAAAAGUUAUAAAUAUUUAGAUCCCACAAUAUUUUCGUGGGGGCUUGUGAGGUCAGCAACCCACCACUUCGACCAAAGCUGAAGUGGCAGCUUCUUUAUUUUUAAAAUUACUAACUAAUCAAUAGAUAAAUUUUCAGUCAAGAGUGCUCAAUUGAAAUUUAGAUUGCGCGAAAAUCUUUAUUCAAAAUAAGGUGGCGGUGAAUACUUUUUUUUUUUUUUUCUUUUUUGGGAAUGAAAAUUUACAUUUUGUUUUCUUAGAAUUUGCACAUUUUGUAGCGGAUCUAGUUUUCCACGUACAAGACAAUCCCAGGGUUUGCAUUUUUUAAAAACUUGAAUUAAUAUGAAAUUUAAAUAGGCGUGAAUGAUAUAUUAAAUAUAUGAAAAUACUUAUACAUACAUAAAAGAACCCACCCACGUAAAAAACUAGUAAUAGUAAAUGAAGAAUAAGAUCCUAAGCUAUGUCCAUUUUUAUCCAAUUUAAUUUUUUUUCCCACUCGUAUGCAGGAAAAGAAACUGCACACAAACCUGGUCGUCUAAUUUAGAGAGUACGUCAACACAGGCAACUCAAAGAAAAAGAACAAUUAGAGUUCGAGAGUUUGGAGUCGAUACUCCUCCAUAGGCGGCCGCUCGAUUAAUGCCAGCUACAAGUUACCUCUUUCAUUUUUAUUUUUCCUUUUCAAGUAUUUUAAGUAGACUUUAAUUUUACUAAAAAAUUAAGAGAAAUGCUCUAAUGUAUGACGUAAUGAUGGGUAUGCACAUGCAUGCAUGCAUAUAUAAUUUUUUUUUAGUAAUGAUAUAGCCACAAACUCUUGUACAAACUUAUUUUGUACAAACUGAUGUGGCAUGAUAAAAUUAGUUGAAUUAAAAAUCUUUUGGCCCACAUGAUUUAUUUAUAUUAUUUUAUAUUUUCAUUCAACCAAUGAAUUAAUGCCACAUCAAUUUGUACAAGAUACGUUUAUACAAGAGUUUGUGGCUGUAUCAUCACUCAUGUUUUUUUAUUACAUGAGACCAAUGCUUAUGAUUACAAUUCAUAUUACAUGAAAUUAUUUAUUGAUAUAUUUAUAAUCAAACAAUUACUGAGAUAAAGAUUGACUUUUUAUCCUCCUAAAUAUUUAAAGAAUUUUUUAUUUCAGUCUCAUUUUAAAAGAGAAAAUAUUAUCUUCACACAAUUAUCAUUUAAAAAGUAAAUUUUAGAUCCAACAAUACUUUAGUGCAGGGGCAGCAGCCCUGCCCCCGACUGCAUGCAUAUAUAAUUUAAGAAACAAUAUAUUCCCCUGAUUUGAGCACUACUGAAUUUUUAAUCUUAAUAUAUAAAUAAAAUUUAAUUUCUUUUAUUUUUUUAUUUAUUAACAAUUAAUCAAUUAUCAUAUUCUUUCCUUAUCUAUAAUUUUUUUUUUUUUUUUGAAAGGAAGAAAUUUCAUUAAGCAAAACUUACAAACUGUUUAACAACCACAGAGGUGGAACAACAUUCCACUCCUGGGGACCUGACAAAGAACCUGUUGCCCUCGCAACGGAGUGAGCAGCAAGAUUCGCAGAUCGACACACAAAGGAGAAUUGCACUUCUCCGAUAAACUUAACUAAAGCUUGACAGUCUUCAAUAAUCAAACCAAACCCAUUUGGACUUGAAAACUGUUCAACCAAAGCUCAGAACACUUGUAGGCAGUCCAUCUCUAUGAUAACACAUGGAAUCUGCAGUUCUUUCAUCCAACUAAGAGCCUCUCUUAUGCCAAGAGCUUCAGCCUCCCUUGCUCCAAAAAUUCCUGCCACACUCACACACCUUGCUGCCACAAAACCUCCUUGUGAAUUACGAAUCACACAACCGAUCCCAAUCUUCCCUUGAGACUCAAACACAGCUGCAUCCACAUUGCACUUUACCCACCCAAACUUAGGUUGCUCCCAACACAAUGCCCCAUGAACCAAUCUGUGAGUAUCAUCAUUAACAUCAAAUACUUGCUGUUUUGCCGCUUGCCACUGAUAGAGAAACUGUCCAGCAGAGUUGAGAAUUUGACAAACUGAGCUGGUAGUGUUGUUCCAAACUUUGUUGUUUCGAUUUACCCAAAUCCGCCAACAAAUCAUCAUAGCAGUAUUACACUCAUCUUUACUGCACCUUGUAAAAACGUGAGCGAGCCAGUCCAAAAAAUUAGAGCAAUAGCCAACAAAACCCACCGAUGAAGAAGUCCAACAAGACUUAGCAAAACUGCAGGCAACCAAGGAGUGUAAAACUGUUUCUUCAUAGGCAUUACAUACAGAACACAUAGCUGGAACAUCCACCCUUUUGGAAAUUAAAUUGAGUGCUGUAGGCAACACGUUGUGUGCAGCUCUCCAAAUAAAAUUCUUAACCUUGUUCGGCACUUUCGAGUUCCACAAUUUCCUCCACACAUCCGCUAAGGAACCAGGAGUGAUAGGAUUUAAAACCUUAUAGCAACUGCGAACUGAAUAACAUCCCCGGGAAUCCGCCAUCCAAUACCACACAUCAUCUUCGCGGCGGGAACUAAGAGGAAUCUUCAGAAUCAACUCCUUAUCUCUUGAAUUGAAGAUGUCCGAAACAACAUUAUAGUCCCAAGCUCGUUGGUGAGGCAUCAUUAAGCUGCUGACAGGAGCUGCAGCUAUCUCCUCAUUAAGAUUUGUAGAAACACACCCAUCUUGGAGGUCUGGAAGCCAAGGAUCUUUACCAAUGGAUAUCGAAUGACCACUGCCAACCUGCACUCUACUCCCUUGGACCACCACUUCCUUUGCAGCCAGAAUGGAACGCCAUACAUAGCUGGGAUUAUGCCCCAACGAAGCUCGAACUACAGAAGUUCGCGGAUAGUAACGAGCUUUAAGAAUUCUCGCCAUUAGAGAAUCAGGGCAGGUUAAUAACUUCCACAUCUGCCUUCCUAACAUCGCAAUGUUAAAUAAAUAAAGUUGCUUGAACCCAAGUCCACCACACCCCUUUGGUUUGCACAAGUAUUUCCAUCCUUAUCUAUAAUUUAAACGACUAUGACUGAGACAUAAUUUUCUCGAUUUUUUCCUUACAAUUAUUGUCUGCCCUCAUCAUACUCUAUCCUAUAAUCUGCCACGUAAUUGCUAAUAUCGCCGUCCUGGACAAGUGGAUGGUAGUUUAUUAGUUAAUGUUCCUAUAUUCUAGGUGUCGUUGCAUUUUUAAAAUUGCGGUUGGCGGUAGCCAUUUGAUUUGCUCGUCUGGUUGUCCAAUCGUCAAUCAAUUCACCUUUUCCAAGACUCUGUGAACGAGGUGUUGCGUGCCUUGGCCUCUUGGCGCUUCAAAACUCCCAACCGUCGUAGCAUGCAAGAUUAAAAAAGAUAAUUAGUUAUUCAUCUGGAGUUUAUACUUUUAUUAAAAGUAUUAUCAAAAUUUAAAUUAAUAUCACUUUUUACUCAAAGUUUAUAAUUUAUAUCUGUUAGAUUAAAUUACGAAAUGGCUAAAAGUGUACAAAGAAAAAUAGGUUUAAUGAAAUUUUUUUACUACAAGAAUAGUCUAGGGACUUAGAAUUUUUAGUAAAAUAUUUAAAAACAAGGUACAUGUCCAAGGACGUGGGCCGACCCACCCUCACACAUGAGAGUUUGGACAAAGACUCAAGAAAAAAAAUCUGGAUCACACCUAGGCCCACUCUGCUGUACGGCCAAGGCGGAUGUACGGUACAGCAGUGUAUGCAGGUUCAUAAUUAGCUAUGUAAGCAGACUUUGAACCUUUUCCUCUCUGAAAUUGUCUUGGUGGCUGAGGUAUGUAAUUUUAUUCAAAUCUAUGCCAGCAUUCAACAGCUGUAUGUCCUACUUUGAAGCAAAUCUGACAUGUAUUCAUGGAAUGAUCACUAUUGGAUGCUUGUGACUCAAAAGAAGGUGAAUUCCCAGUACCAGUGAAACCAGUACUACCAAAAGAACCUCUUCCAGAAGAACCAAAUCUAUUACUUCCCAUCAUCAUUUGAUUUCUUCCAUGAUUACCAAAAUGACCAGAUCCAGCAGGAAAACCCCUUGGAUGAGAGUUCAAAAACAUUCCUCUACCAUUAAACAUGCCAUUUCUACCAUAUGAAUGACCAUUGUAAUUGCCCUGGACACCUCCUGUAUAUCCUCCUCUCCUAGCUUGACCUCUUAUUUGAGCAUAGUAUGCAUUCAUCAUACUAUUAUUAUUCCAGUUAGACAUAUUAGCAUAGUUUCCAUUAAACAUGUGUUUUUCACUUUGACUUUGUUCAAGUCUAACUUCAUGAGUGAGUAAUAAAGCAUAAGCAUCAUCAUAAUCCAAUUUGCUUACUGUGAUAAAAGUAGCUAAAUCCAAAUAGCCAGCUCCUAGACCAUUGAGAAUUUGCUAU
rnacentral:lncRNA from 1 species